UACGAAGGGGGCUAGCGUUGCUCGGAAUCACUGGGCGUAAAGCGCACGUAGGCGGGUCUUAAGUCAGGGGUGAAAUCCUGGAGCUCAACUCCAGAACUGCCUUUGAUACUGAGGAUCUCGAGUCCGGGAGAGGUGAGUGGAACUCCGAGUGUAGAGGUGAAAUUCGUAGAUAUUCGGAAGAACACCAGUGGCGAAGGCGGCUCACUGGCCCGGUACUGACGCUGAGGUGCGAAAGCGUGGGGAGCAAACAGG
rnacentral:rRNA from 1 species